UACAGAGGUCUCAAGCGUUGUUCGGAUUCAUUGGGCGUAAAGGGUGCGUAGGUGGCGCGGUAAGUCGGGUGUGAAAUUUCGGAGCUUAACUCCGAAACUGCAUUCGAUACUGCCGUGCUUGAGGACUGGAGAGGAGACUGGAAUUUACGGUGUAGCAGUGAAAUGCGUAGAGAUCGUAAGGAAGACCAGUGGCGAAGGCGGGUCUCUGGACAGUUCCUGACACUGAGGCACGGAAGGCCAGGGGGAGCAAAACGGGG
rnacentral:rRNA from 1 species